CAACAUCAAAAUAAAAUGAAAUUCUGUGCUUGACCGUCAAGGGCCAAUGAACUGUGCCAUUACAGUAAAUGCCAGCAAAAAUGAGAAAGUCAUCUUCAUGUGUAUGGACAAUGAUCAAACUACAAGAAUCAGUCUCUGAUGAAUAAACAUCUAUUCUGUACCCUCUCUUAUGAUUAUCCAUUAAUCAGCAAACAAAAAUUACCAUAAAGUUUGGCGAUUUCCAAGGAAAAGAAUGAUGGUAUUAAAAAAUUAUCCGGGAGAUGUUACUUUUCAAGAUCAGCAUCACAUACAGCAUCACCAGUAAUCUCCACAUGAACAAAUUCCACCCUUGAAAUGAUGGAAUCGCUUUAUAUCUCUCAAUACAAUCUCCCUUUGACUCAUCUUACUAGCAUAUUUCAUUAGAGAAUGACAAUCUCCACAAACUCUGAGAUUUUUCACAAUUCUUAUAGUCAUACCAGGAGAAGUACGAAGAAGGCCAAAAGCAAGUGCCAACUUCUCACUAUGACUUCCCAAUGCAUCUUCCUUCUCUUCUUCUUCAAUAUUAUGAAGUACCCACUCAGUUCCAGGCAUGUAUCCUUGUUCCCUUGCACCUGCCACUAUUUCUUCUAAUUUCAAGUAUAUAUCUUUUGCAUCCCGAUGAAAGUAAUCACCAGCUACAAAACUAUGCACUUGACCCUCCACCUCUAUAUAACUCCAUCCUGGAUCUUUCUCUAUGCCUUUAUUCUGCAUCAGAAUUCUCACUCUCUCUACAUCUUCCCAUCGGCCUACUGCAGCAUAAACAUUUGAUAGGAAGACAUAGCUCCCAGGAUGCUUAGGUUCAAGCUCCAGGAGCUUCUGUGAGGCUAACUCUGCCAAUUUGAUAUUUUUGUGAGCUCUGCAAGCGCAAAAAAGUGCUCCCCAUAUCACAAAAUCGGGAGUUAUUGGCAUGCUUUCAAUGAACCUCAGAGCUUGAUUUAGCCAACCUGCCCUGCCUAAGAGAUCAACAAUUAAUGCAUAAUGCUUCAUGGUGGGUUCAAUAGAGUAGUCGAGCUUCAUGCUGUUGAAGAAAUUAAGUCCAAGAUUUACUUUGCCAGCAUGUGUGCAUGCAGUUAGUAUGGCAAGAAAGACAACCUCAUCUGGUCGUAUACCUGCAUACAUCAUUUGUUUGAAAUACUUAAUUGCUUCCUCAGAAUGUCCAUGGAUUGCCCAACCCCAUAUCAUAACACUCCAUGUAAGAAUGUCCUUCUCUUUUGUCUCCCUGAACACCUCAUUUGCAGACUCAAUAUUCCCACAUUUUGCAUACAAAUCCACCAAAGCAGUUCCAAUUACUCUAUUCAAACGGAAACCAUUAUCUUUCAGAUAUCUGUGUAUUCUUAGUCCAGCUUCAAGGGCACCAAUCUUUGCACAAGCAGAGAGAGCUGAAACAAUGGUGAAAUCAUUUGGCUUCACACUCUCUUCCAACAUCUUAAAAAACAAGGACAAUGCCUUCUCAUGGUCUCCAUUCUGUGAAAACCCAUUAAUCAUUGUACUCCAAGAAACCACAUUCUUCCCUGGCAUUCGAUCAAACAGCUCCCUCGCUUUCUCCAAAUCCCCACUUCUCAAAAACCCAUUAAUCAAACUAUUCCAAGACGCAGUAUUCCUCUGUGGCAUGGCCUGAAAGAGCUCCGCAGCCUUGCUCAUAUCCCCAACCUUACAAUACCCAUUAAUCAAAACAUUCCACAACAAUGUCUUAUCAGUAUUAAACCUCUGAGGACUUUCAUCAAACAGCUUCAAAGCAAAUCCCAAUUCCUCAACUUUUACAUACAGAUCGACCAUAGCUAUUCUAACGAAUGAAUCAAACUCGAAUCCACGCUUCAAAAUCAUCCCAUGAAGAGUUCUACCAAGCCCUUCUAAACACAAACAAGCAACAGAUUUAAGUAUAAAUGGGAAGGUGAGCUGGUCUGGUCUAACAUCCAACCUCAACAUGAGAAUAAAAUGGGAGAUGGCAUUCUCAAAAAGGGAAUUACUCGUGAGGCCACGAAUCAAUGCAUUGAAAAGAAACGAGUUCUUGGGAUGGUAAUGGUUAAAGACCGCGAGAGAGUAGCCAACGGAUUUGCGUAAAGAUGACGAAGAGAUCAACUGGGUAGUGAUGAGGCUGCUGGAAGAGAGGUCGUGGAGGAGGAUUUGUGCGUGGAUUUGGUGGAGUUGGAGUGUGGUUUUCGAAGAGUGAAUAAGAGAUAUGAAGUGCUUUUCCGAUGGAUCUUGAGAGGGUGCAUUGGGCACGGAGGUUGGCUUUCUCGAGGAAGAAGUCGCGACAGUUGUUUUAGCGGGAGAAGCAGUUGGUUUAAACAGGGCAUAAAGA
rnacentral:misc_RNA from 1 species